GUGUGACGUCAUCGCAGGUCCUGCAGCCCCAGGAGGUGAGAUCUGCAGGUACAAGACUCUUCUUUUGAAAGGCAAUGGACCUUUCCAUAGAUGACCCACUAAGCAUGAACAAGGACAGAGACCACAUGGCUGCAAGGAUAUUAGACCUCACCCUGGAGAUCAUCUCCUUGAUAACCGGAGAGGAUUACACAGUAGUGAAGAAGUCGUCUGGUGAGUGUGUGACACCC